GGGCGCGUUAGGCCUCGAUAAGAUGUUAUUUCUCAAUCGUGCGUGUCGUGUGUCAUAGAUAUCACACGCAAAUACCUAUCUAUAUUUGUUACGUGCAAACAUUUUCAGCAAGGUGAAGUCUGCUUUUGCAGUCCCCACUUUUGCUACCGCAGUAGCUUAAUAACUAUUGCCAUCGCUUGAUAUCAGCCGUCGGGUAUCAAAAGCGGUGUCACUUUAGACGGUUUGAGGAACGUUUCUGACGAAAGAACGUUUCCUGACUAGCACCCUUUCGUUCGUAGCUAUUGGAUCUUUGAUGCAUUGCAGUUCAAUAGUUGCGUAAUAAAAUUCCUAGUGCAUCUACACACGUAGACCGAUCGAUUCAAAACGUUUUACACGUGGGUUCAAUUCCCACCGCGUCCACUA
rnacentral:tmRNA from 1 species